AAGUCGUAACAAGGUUUCCGUAGGUGAACCUGCGGAAGGAUCAUUAACAAAUUCAUCCACAUACUGACGUCCCACUCGUGACGCUGGCGCCUCUGCGUGUGUGUAGUCUCUCUCUCCCUUUCCGGGACGGCGACUAGACGCGUGUGGUGGUGACUCACCAGAGGAUCGGGUGGUGUACUCAACCACACACACACUUUACUUGAUUGACAACACCUAGUGAUAUCUAGUUAACGGUAGACAACUUUUAACAAUGGAUCUCUUGGCUCUU
rnacentral:misc_RNA from 1 species